rnacentral:rRNA from 1 species
GACGAACGCUGGCGGCGUGCCUAACACAUGCAAGUGGAGCGACGAACCAGACUUCGGUCUGGGGCCAAGCCGCGAACGGGUGAGUAACACGUGGGUAACCUGCCCCGAUGAUCGGGACAACCCGGGGAAACCCGGGCUAAUACCGAAUGUGGUCGCGGUCCGUGAGGACCGUGACGAAAGGAAGCUUCGGCCUCCGCAUCGGGAUGGGCCCGCGGCCCAUUAGCUUGUUGGUGGGGUAAUGGCCUACCAAGGCAUCGAUGGGUAGCUGGUCUGGGAGGACGAUCAGCCACACGGGGACUGAGACCCGGCCCAGACUCCUACGGGAGGCAGCAGUGGGGAAUCUUGCGCAAUGCGCGAAAGCGUGACGCAGCAACGCCGCGUGGGGGAAGAAGGCUCUCGGGUCGUAAACCCCUUUCAGUUGGGACGAAGCUUCGCCGGUGAAUAGCCGGCCGGAGUGACGGUACCUUCACAAGAAGCCCCGGCUAACUACGUGCCAGCCGCCGCCGUAACAC